rnacentral:tRNA from 1 species
GCCCAUGUAGCUCAGUCGGUAGAGCGUUAGGCUUUUAACCUGAAUGUCCAGGGUUCGACCCCCUGCGUGGGCG